rnacentral:tRNA from 1 species
AGGGGUGUAGUUCAAUCGGUAGAACAGCGGACUUCAAAUCCGUUGGUUGUGGGUUCAAGUCCUGUCACCCCUG